UACGUAGGGGGGCAAGCGUUGUCCGGAAUUACUGGGCGUAAAGAGCUCGUAGGUGGUUUGUCGCGUUGUCCGUGAAAACUCACAACUCAAUUGUGGGCGUGCGGGCGAUACGGGCAGACUGGAGUACUGCAGGGGAGACUGGAAUUCCUGGUGUAGCGGUGAAAUGCGCAGAUAUCAGGAGGAACACCGGUGGCGAAGGCGGGUCUCUGGGCCGAUACUGACGCUGAGGAGCGAAAGCGUGGGGAGCGAACAGG
rnacentral:rRNA from 1 species